rnacentral:tRNA from 1 species
GGGGCGGUAGCUCAGUUUGGCAGAGCGCGGGACUCCAAAUCCCGUGGUCGGGGGUUCAAAUCCUCCCCGCCCCGC